rnacentral:rRNA from 1 species
UACGGGGGAGGCAAGCGUUGUUCGGAUUUACUGGGCGUAAAGGGCGCGUAGGCGGCCAGCACAAGUCAGUUGUGAAAUCUCCGAGCUUAACUCGGAAAGGUCAACUGAUACUGUGCGGCUAGAGUGCGGAAGGGGCAACUGGAAUUCUUGGUGUAGCGGUGAAAUGCGUAGAAUAUCAAGAGGAACACCUGCGGCGAAGGCGGGUUGCUGGGCCGACACUGACGCUGAGGCGCGAAAGCCAGGGGGAGGCGAAACGGGGA